rfam:Cricetulus griseus cell line CHO-K1, whole genome shotgun sequence.
GAGGGGAUGGCUCUGUGGUGAAGAGCACUGGCUGCUCUUCUGGAGGACCUGGGUUCAAUUCCCAGCCUCCACA